GCUGAUCUCAAGUUGGAGCUUUCUGCAGUGAUGAAGUCAUCUCUGAGAGCUAAGCACUCCACUGCCCAAGCUGAGACUUCCACUGCCUGGACGGUUUUUUGGCUUGUCAGCAUCUGGCCCAUCCCACUCGGUGACUGCUUGAGGUGGUCACGUCUCACUCUGGGGCUGUCACAGGCUAGGCCAAGCUAAGUCACAUGGUACGGAACUUCCUCAUACCCCUUUGCAAAUCGGAGUCAGAACCCCUCGGUGUGUGGGAUUUGAGGCUCUUUCCUUCGGACUCCCUGCCACAUGGCGGCUGUCUCAAAGAGCCUCUAGGCUUUGAAGACUCUCUCCCUUCAGGAAAGCAUCGAGCUGUCUGGCGUGAAGCUCUUCAGAGCUCUCCAGCCUCAAGUCUCCAGCAUGCCCUACCCCAUCUCCAAAAUCUCUCUUCCAAUAAAGCCUGAUCUGAAAGG
rnacentral:lncRNA from 1 species